rnacentral:rRNA from 1 species
GACGAACGCUGGCGGCGUGCUUAACACAUGCAAGUCACGGGGACCCGCAAGGGUAACCGGCGAACGGGUGCGUAACACGCGAGCAACCUGCCGAUUUGUGGGGGAUAGCCGGCCCAACGGCCGGGUAAUACCGCAUACGCUUUAGGGGAGACAUCUCUCUUUGAGGAAACCUCCGGGGCAGAUCGAGGGGCUCGCGGCCUAUCAGCUAGUUGGCGGGGUAAUGGCCCACCAAGGCUCUGACGGGUAGCUGGUCUGAGAGGAUGGCCAGCCACAUUGGGACUGAGAAACGGCCCAGACUCCUACGGGAGGCAGCAGUGGGGAAUCUUGCGCAAUGGCCGAAAGGCUGACGCAGCGACGCCGCGUGUGGGAGGACGCCCUUCGGGGUGUAAACCACUGUUGCCCGGGACGAACUUCCGGUUUCGACCGGAUUGACGGUACCGGGUGAGGAAGCACCGGCUAACUCCGUGCCAGCCGCCGCCGUAACAC